rnacentral:lncRNA from 1 species
AGGCAAGGCCAAUAAAGUAGGUGGAAACGAAACAGAAUAGGCCAUAAGGGCAUCCCAUUGCCAUUACAGGACUGAGGCAUAUUGGUCAAGUGGAUCUCACUUUUCUCUUUCAUUCAUAUCUCUUUUUUAUGAAACUCUGAUCCUCCUCUAACCUUCUUUCUUUUCUCUCUCUUAAAUUUCUUCUUCCGGUUUCCCAAUAUGGACAGAGAUCUCGGCUGCCGUCGACUUCCCUACCUCUCCGGCUGCGUUCCCUCUUCUCCCGCAUGCUUUCCCAUCCACGAAGGAGUAGAGUACACUCGCAUCCACGGCGGCGCUGGAGCCAAAAGAAGCGGCUGGAGAUGGCGGUAUCUUCUUAGAAAGUGGGUGAAAGAUGGCAUGAAUAUAUAUGGAUCGAAAUCUCUAUCUUUCCAAUACGACGCCGUUAGCUAUUCGCAGAAUUUUGACGAGGGCAGCCGUUGUUACGAGAGUUGCCAUCGAGAAAAUGAGAUAGGGAUUUCGAGAUGAACGUACCUACGGUUUAAUUGAUCGAUCCAUCGAUCGAUCGCUGUAGAUGGGAUUAUGGUAGGAUUUUCUGAGUUGAAUUACUGCAAUUUUCUUUUGAGAUUUUUUGGUUUUUGUUUUCAAAUUUUAGUCCGUUAAUUUUGGAUGUGUUUGAGAUUUAUGAAUAAAUGGAUGGUGGGAGUGUGGAGAUUAGAGAAUUGUAGAUCUACCAAGAAGAUGAACAUUCUUUCUUGUUUGUACAGUUUCCCAGAUGACAGGUGCCGCCCAUUGAUUUGCCCACAUUUUCUUUUUCUUUUUCUCUUUUCUGGCGGGUCCCAUCAAGAUGUAUAUUUCUUGGCUCAAUUAAACCGUAAAUUCCAAACAUAUUUUUUAAACUAAAA